GGAAAUGUGGCUCAGUGGUAAAGUGCUUGCCUAGCAUGCAUGAAGCCCAGGGUUCGAUUCCUCAGUACCA
rnacentral:tRNA from 1 species